rnacentral:lncRNA from 1 species
UUGUUUGCAGAGUGGCUUCAGUGGUUUAUAGUCCCAUUAACAUUUAAUGAGGGCUCCACUUUCCCCGCAGCAGGCGUGUGCUGCUGUUACUGGUCUUUGCCACUUUGAUUGAGGAUUUCUCCAGGCUCCACCUAAUGUUUGGCUGUGGGUCUCUGCAUCUGCUUCCAUCAGUUGCUGGGUAAUGCCUCUCAGAUAACAGCUAUGCCAGAGGUCAUGAGGAAUCAAGUUCUACCUCUGGUAAAAAGCCUCUUGCUCCCAGAAGAAAGUCAAGUAGGAACAUACACCUUUGAAUGACAUCUCGCCAUUUACUGAAGUUAUCAUCAUCAGAUCUGUGCUACCUACCCAUUAAAACUUGUCUGGACAUUUUUAAA